rnacentral:rRNA from 1 species
CCUACGGGAGGCAGCAGUCGAGAAUCAUUCACAAUGGGGGAAACCCUGAUGGUGCGACGCCGCGUGGGGGAAUGAAGGUCUUCGGAUUGUAAACCCCUGUCAUGUGGGAGCAAAUUAAAAAGAUAGUACCACAAGGGGAAGAGACGGCUAACUCUGUGCCACAACCCGCGGUAAUACAGAGGUCUCAAGCGUUGUUCGGAAGCACUGGGCGUAAGGCGUGCGUAGGCGGUUUCGUAAGUCGUGUGUGAAAGGCGCGGGCUCAACCCGCGGACGGCACAUGAUACUGCGAGACUAGAGUAAUGGAGGGGGAACCGGAAUUCUCGGUGUAGCAGUGAAAUGCGUAGAUAUCGAGAGGAACACUCGUGGCGAAGGCGGGUUCCUGGACAUUAACUGACGCUGAGGCACGAAGGCCAGGGGAGCGAAAGGGAUUAGAUACCCUGGUAGUC